CUGGACUGAAAUGGUCUAUAAAAAGCACAAACUAGCUGUUAAUUUACAAUACAGCAUCAGUGUCACAACUUUAGUUCUGACUUUUCAACCAUUUUACAUCUUCACUUGAACAGGUAAGAGGUUCAAAAAAUACUGUAGUGGAAUUUAGGCUUUCAGAAUUUUUAUCUAGCUUUGAAUUCACAACUCGUAUUCUUCAUUUCAAGAACUCCAUGGUGACCAUGAAACUACUAUUCCUAGUGAUGUGCCUGAUUGGACUUUGUUCUUCCAUUCCUGUAAGAAUUCUUGAAAUACAACAUCAACACUGCAAUUUACGCAUCAAUACACCAAGAGAUUGCUGUUUCCACAGAUUGCAUUGCAUUGGAAUAUGACAAUACAUUAAUUAUUACAAUACGAUUAACUUAAGUUCACACUUUGAGUGUUGAUUACUCUAUACUGUAAUAUCCUGUAUCCUGGGAUUUUGUUUGUGUGUGCAGGUGUCUGAGAAACAUGAUCGAGAGGAGCGCUCAGCUAGUGAUGAGAUGUUCAGGGGUUAUGGGCAUAGUGUUGGGGGAUUCUAUCCCUAUCAGCAGCCUCAGCAGCCUCAGUACCCAUCAUACUUCCCUUACGCCCAGCCCCCCCAAAGUAACUCUGCCCUGUUGGCCCUCCUGCCCUUCCUAUUGGCCAGACUCGCUGCCGCUCCAGCCGCAACUCCUGCUGCAGCUCCCGCCCCAGCCCCAGCAGCAGGUGGAAAAUGAGAUGGGCGUCGACAGAAGAGCCAGAAGGACUCUCAUGUCUCCACCUUGUUUACAUCACAUAUGUUGACAUUAGCUGCUGUUCAGAGCUGAUUAUUCCAUUUUCAAUAAAUGAAAUAAGUUAAGAUCCAU
ensembl:lncRNA